GUUAUUAUAGUUUAAAUAAAAUUUAGAUUUGUGGUAUCUAGGAUGUGAAUUUUCACUAAUGACC
rnacentral:tRNA from 1 species